CUGCUCAUACUCCUGUGAAAAUCACACAACACAACCUCAUCACUAAAGGUUUUUAACUUAUGUUUUCGAAAGCUCUAAGCCAAGCAUAUAUUUAGUUUAGACAACAGCUUUGUCUCUUAUUAUCAUUUGUACAUAUAAUUUAGAGCUUCAAUAUCAAACUAAAUAAUAAUAAGUGAUAAUAAUUUGUGUUGAAACUUGAAGUUAGCUAAAAGAAUUUCUGAAAUCUUAUUAUAAGCUAUGGUGCACCAGCAUAUAGCAAACCUUACAGAAACCAUUUGGCAGAAAUGAAGCAUCGAGAAGGUCUUCCAUGCAGUAACCGGAGCUUGUUGUGGCUCUACUCGAGGACAUUGAUGUUGGCUCUGAUGAAGAAGAAGAAGAAGCAGCACCAAGCUUUACACCUGUCAGAAGAAACCUGUUAUGCUUCUUAGUGUAUUCAUUGGCUCCAUGGAUAGAAACGUCACAUUCACUGCAUAAUAUCGCUCUGUCUUCUUGGCAAAAUAUAUAUGCACGUCUCUCCUGUAAAUUAAACCCCCCCAAAAAAAAGAAAAAAGAGAUUUUUUAUUAAUACAUUUCUUUAAGUUAGAUGUGACACUUUAUUUAAACCUUUUCUUUUGUUGUUUAAUAUAUAAUUACAUGUGACUAAGUAUUAGAAUAAUGAAUUGAAUAUAGACAGAAGGCAUUACUUGGCAGAUAUCACACAGAGGGGCGUCUUUGGAGUUAGGGUGGUGCAGAGAGAAGCGCGUGUGUUUGGUUGCAACCUUGUUGGCACAGUGUAUUGUGCGAUCACAGCCAUGGCAUAGAGCUCCUUCAUCCGAGGGACAGAAGAAAGAGGCCUCCACUUUGUGACACACAUCACACUGGAUCUUCAUAUCACUCUUUGUCAGUUUGUCUCUCUCUAUAUAUAGAUUAUUUCUAUUCUUUUCUUUUCUUUUUGGUGUUUGAUUUGAUUUGCUUCUUCUUCUUCUUGAGUGUGUGAGUGUGUUUGAAAAGAGAGAUAGAUAGAUAGUGGGGGUUCGGAAAAGAAAAGGGAAAUGGGGACAAAGAAUUAUGGGCGUUUUAAGGAGUGAUGGUCCAUAGAGAACAGCAAACAGCUAAGCUCAGAAGUAUGUAAAUGUGUGUUUUCUCUGACUUAUAGAAAACUCUGGAUCAAUGCUAUAUCAAUAUCAGAGACAAUAGUAGCUGUUACUAUUUAUAUAUAUUAUACAUUAAUAUCUCUAAUUUCUAUCUCUUUCUCUCUCUGUCCAUGUCCAUGUGGAUUUCUCUUUCUUGGAGUAAAGAGUAAAGAGGCAGGGGAGCAAAACAAGUUGGCUAGUGCCCGAUGUUGUAGGUAAACAUUUGCCUAGCAUGGCAUGUGAUAAAGCAAAACUAAGAGGUUAUUUUGAACAAACAAACAAAAAGGCAUAGCCAGAGAAGCCCCAACAAGGUGCCUCCCUAAAAGAAGUUUGUAAUCUAAAUUUGAAAUAUCUUCCCCUAGUAUAAAUAAUAUCCGAAAGAUGC